CAGCGCUCUGGAGGAAGAUGAGCGCCUAGAACGAGGCCUAGAGCAGCGGCGUCGAAAGGUGAGCCGGCAGCUGAGCAGGCGGGAACGCUGCACCCUGAGCUGAGCCUCCUGUCCAGUUAGUCGUGGACCCUCCUCGUCACUCCCCCGCCUGUACAGCGGAGGACAGGCCCCCCCAUGCUCCUCCAGCGGGCGGAAGCAAGACCGAUCAGAUUCUCGGACUGGAGCAGUGAGCCUACCAGGCAGUAUUUAUUUAUCCGAGUGUAUGUGAGUGUGUGGCGGUGGCCAGGAUCCCCCAAGCAAGGGAUGGUGUGGGAACGACACCCACGUCCUCCUUCCCUUCUGAAGGGAGCAAUAAAGUUGAACUACAACAAA
rnacentral:lncRNA from 1 species